GAUGAACGCUGGCGGCGUGCCUAGUACAUGCAAGUCGAGCGAACAGACGAGGAGCUUGCUCCUCUGACGUUAGCGGCGGACGGGUGAGUAACACGUGGAUAACCUACCUAUAAGACUGGGAUAACUUCGGGAAACCGGAGCUAAUACCGGAUAAUAUAUUGAACCGCAUGGUUCAAUAGUGAAAGACGGUUUUGCUGUCACUUAUAGAUGGAUCCGCGCCGCAUUAGCUAGUUGGUAAGGUAACGGCUUACCAAGGCAACGAUGCGUAGCCGACCUGAGAGGGUGAUCGGCCACACUGGAACUGAGACACGGUCCAGACUCCUACGGGAGGCAGCAGUAGGGAAUCUUCCGCAAUGGGCGAAAGCUUGACGGAGCAACGCCGCGUGAGUGAUGAAGGUCUUCGGAUCGUAAAACUCUGUUAUUAGGGAAGAACAAAUGUGUAAGUAACUAUGCACGUCUUGACGGUACCUAAUCAGAAAGCCACGGCUAACUACGUG
rnacentral:rRNA from 1 species